rnacentral:rRNA from 1 species
GACGAACGCUGGCGGCGUGCUUAACACAUGCAAGUCGAACGGGUCUGCCCUGUUUUUUGCGGGGUGGGUCAGUGGCGAACGGGUGAGUAACACGUGGGUAACCUGCCCCUCACUUCUGGAUAACCGCUUGAAAGGGUGGCUAAUACGGGGUGUUCUGGCUGUGCCGCAUGGUGUGGCUGGGAAAGAUUCACUUUUGUGGUGUUUUGGUGGGGGAUGGGCUCGCGGCCUAUCAGCUUGUUGGUGGGGUGAUGGCCUGCCAAGGCUUUGACGGGUAGCCGGCCUGAGAGGGUGGGCGGUCACACUGGGACUGAGAUACGGCCCAGACUCCUGCGGGAGGCAGCAGUGGGGGGUAUUGCACAAUGGGCGGAAGCCUGAUGCAGCGACGUCGCGUGAGGGAUGGAGGCCUUCGGGUUGUGAACCUCUUUCGCCGGUGAAGAAGGUCCUGCUCUUUGUGGUGGGGUUGACGGUAGCCGGGUUAUGAAGCGCCGGCUAACUACGUG